CACUUCUAUAAGAGAGGAAUAGAAAAAAAUUCCAGGAUAAGGAUGUAAUAAAGUAUAAAAUGUCAAAGCAUGGAAUAAAACUUUUCAUGUGAAAGCUUUUUACUCAUGCCAAAAUAUUAGCAUUAUUGUAGUUGGUCAGAAUUACUAAAAUGACAGUUAUAACCAUUCAAUUAAAAAUCAUUCAAUACAGAACAAGUAGAAAGCAAUUAUCAUGCAGACUAAACAAAGAUUAGAUGUAUUUCAGAAAGUAGGAAAACAAGAUGGGAAACAAAGAUGAAACUAAAAGAUGACAAACUUUCAAACUGAUCAAUUAAUGACACUUUCUUGAUUAUUAAAUUGUAAAUAAAUAAUGCAAUGAGACUGGGUAUGCUCAAGGCAUCAUGAUGGCUGCUUUGUUAAAAAGAAGAAAGGAAAAGCCCCUGGGUUGAUGGUAAAAUGGUUAGUUAGAAUAUCUAGUGACCUAACCGGCCCAAAGGUAUUUCUUGCUCAAACAGAGAGCUGAUGGCUGCUCUCUGACCUUGUUUCGGUAUGUUGGAGGCACAGGUCUAGCAGAUUAGGGAACACCAAAGGAGUAGAGAAUAAUGGUUGAUUAGGUACUUUUACAAAAACCUAACCCCCCUGGAUGUCCUUCUGGUAAAACCCCUUGAUGGAAGAAGAUCAAUGGUGUCCAAACCAGGACCUGGUUCUGAUAGACAUCUCCCUCUUUUAUCAAAACCCUCCAACCACCAACCCUCCUUCUUCUUUCCUUAAAGAUCUGACUGCUAAUUAUGUACAACUGCUAUUUAUUUGGGAAAGGGUAAUAAGGGAGAGGACUAGGAAAGAGGUCACACAGGGGUGACCUUAGGCUAAAAGCCCAGACUGAAGGUAGGCCCUUUCGCUUUGGGCAACAGCUGGGAUCAGUCUGGAAGCUUUAUCUAUGUUCUUGUUCUCCUAUGCCGGCCACCUAAAUCUAGCAUUAAAGAAUCAGCAAAUGUCUUUAGGUGUAGCAGGCAUGGAGGGAGAUGAUAUAGGUUUCAUGACUGACUCAACCUGCCCUUCAGGGUAAAACCCUCUUAGGCAGUCCAGUCAGUCCACACAGGUCUUGAUUUAAAGGAGAGAGAGGAUCAGUUCACAGUCACUGUGGGCAUAGGAUAUGAUCAGGAAAUCCUCAUGAAAAUAGUUUCCAAUCCUGAGGUGAGAAUCAGAGCUGCUUUCACUCCACGGUUCAAAACUAAACACCCGAGACUUCAUUGGUUCCCAUAAUUCCCUGCCCCCAACCAUUCCAACUCACCCUGUCACCCUGUUUCUCCAGGAUUCCAUUUCCACUCUGUGUAAAAUCUUCCCUUACAGUCUACAGGAUUAGAAGGAGUCCAGAAAUGGAUGAUAUCAUAGAUCCAUCAAAGAUGGAACCAUAUUAUUUUUGAGUAUAAUAAAAUCCUUAGUAAAAUUAACUUGAAGAUUUUUAACCAAAUAUAACCUUAAAAAGAUAAACAGCUACAGAAUCAUGCUAUAUGUGAAAUGAUACUGUGAAAAAUACUCAAGACAAAGUGCCAAAGUGGAUCUUAGAAAAUAUUUCAUAUAACCUCAUUUUACAAAUGAAAAAAACUGAGACCCAGAAAGAUGAAAUGACUUACCUAAAAAAUCAUAUAGCUAAUAAACUGCAAAAGAUCCAAAUUUCAUUCUUUGAGGGUGGGGGGUGUAAAAAGAACUACAGUUUUAAUUGGAGGCUUCAGUGCAAUUGAAAAAAAUAAUAAAUACUGUAAUCAGUUUUAGGACCAUACACUUUUGAAUGGGGGCCAAUAAUUUCAGUUGUAGAGGCCAUGUUUACUGAAACAAUAAGAAAAGGAAUUAUUCUUUGGAAAAUCCUUUGAUGGCUGAGAAUAAAAGCCACCACCAGACAUACACUUUGCAAUUCUUCCUAUAGGACCUUAAUGACUCAGCAAACCUGGGAUCCAAUUCAAACUUUUAGAGAUGACAUUUGAGCAUGCAUGAUGUCAUCAACCAGGAGAAUACUGGUGGCAAUUACAGUGCAAGACUGAAGAAACUGCUUCUUGACAUAAUAGUUAUCCCAAAUGCCAGCUUCAGCCACAAUAAUGUGCUCACCUGUCUUCAAAUUGACAAGUUGUCUUGAUUCUUCAUGUUCAGUGUGUACCUUAACUAAUGCUUCCUGACGGUCAAAACCAAAGUUCUGAGCAAGAACCUUGGUAAUAAUGAGCAAAACAUCAACAAAAGCUUGGAUUCCAAGACAGGCACUUCCCAUGACAUUGAACUUAUGUUUAAUGAGAGAGCUUAGGCUAUGGCCACUUCCACUGCACCCGCACCAACUAUACAGCCAUCUUCAACAGUAUUCUUGACAGCACGCAGACCAUCUCUUACUGCAUCCUGGAACUGUAUAAGGGUGUACUUAUUUGAUCCUUUGACCAUCAAUGUGACAGAUUGAGGGUUGCCACAUUUCUCAAUAAAGGUGAAUUUUUCUUCUCCCAGGGUAUAGUCAUAGACCAGGCCUGCAUGUCCCAAACAGUCAGGAUUUAACUCUUCAGAAGAAUUCAUAGCCAUCCCACCACAUGCAAGACUCAAUCUUUCCAUUUUCUUCUUUUUUGCUCUGUGGAGGGAUACUAUACCUUCUUUUGCAAGAAUAUCUAGAGGAAAAGAGUUCCUUUUGAUUAAUAACAACAAAUCCUUUGUCUAAAUCACAGCACACUUUUCAGUUCUAUUUUCUUUACUCCAUCUUCACUGAAUUUCCUUUCCGCUUUUACUAGCUUCUCUCUCUCCUCUGCACUCUUGUAAAAAAAAAAUCCAGAAUUAACUUCUGGUUUUUCAUAUUCUAAUGACACAUUACAUGUAAGGAUAUAAGUGUCUUCUACUCUUUUUUUUAUAUCAGGGUGUAGGGCAGCAUGGUCUAAAACCAGGACUCUCAUCAUUGAUGUGUCAGUUUCUGAUUUAUGCUUCAUCUCCAUGAUUUCUACUAUGAAAAGAUCAAUAGGUUCACCAGGUUUUCUGACAGUCAAAAUUGAGUCUACUACUGCCUCAGUCAGCACAUCAGCCAAGUCAGCAUUGACUUCGGUGUGCAGGGAUGAUCAGGCCACAUCUAUGAAUUUCUCUAUUUCCUUGCUGAUUUUGACAUGUUCCAAGACUUCAGUGCCUUCAUCUUGGCAGCUUGAAACCCUUCUGUUAUUCUCCGGGGUAUAGCCCUUCAGAGAUGGAGAGAAAGAAAGAUCAGCCAGUUUCAGCAUCUCUCCAAUGAUGAGAACAUUUGAAGUAGUGCCAUCACCAAUAAUGUCUUCCUAUGCUGUAUCUACUUUGGUUAUCAAGGAGCUGUUGGGUGUCGAAUGUGUAUCUUGUGUAACAACACAUUGCCAUUCUUGGUGAGCUUGAUGUCUCAGGCGCCAGAUAUAAACAUCUUCAUGGUGCCCUUGGGCCCCGGGUUGGUCCUCAACACAUCCUGUAGCCCCCAGAAUGCACUGAUUUCAUGGUCAGCAUAAUCUGGCUUUGGGCCACCUUGGCUUUGGGGUUAAGUGCCUUUAUGGCCAACAUAACUAUGGUGCAGUGGCAGCUGUGGACAAGGAGAAAAAAGGGGAGGAGAGCACAACUGAAGUGGCUCAAGAUGAGCCCAGCUCCACAUAGAUCCAAGAGACCACCCAAAUUUCAUUCUACUCAAUUUCUUAUAGCACCUAAUACAUAUCACAAUUAUAUCCCACAAUUUGUGCAGCCAUUCCCUAGUACUAAGCAUCCUUUUAAUUUCCAAUUCUUUGCUACCACAAAAAGAAAUGUUAUAAAUAUUUUUGUAUAUAUGUAUCCUUUUCCCUCUGAUCUCUUUUCAGUAUAGACCUAAUAAUAUUUCUGGGUCAAAAAGAUAUACACUGUUUUAUAGCCCUUUGGAUAAAGUCCAAAAUUGUUUUCCAAAUGGCUGAAAUAGUUCAUAACUACUCCAACAGUUUUAUUAAUGUUCCUAUUUUCCUACUUCCCUUCCAGCAUUUGUCAUUUCUGAUAUAACAUGGUAUAUACCUCAGAGUUGUUUUAAUUUGCAUUUUUCUAAUCAAUAGUGAUUUAGAACAUUUUUUCACAUGCCUAUAAAAAGCUGUGAUUUCUUCUGAAAGCUACCUGUUCAUAUUCUUGACAAUUUAUCAUUUGGGGAAUGGUGCCUAUUUUUAUAAAUCUGACUCCGUUCCCUAUAUAAUUUGAGAAAAGAAGCCUUUAUCAGAGAAAUUUACCAUAAAAGUUUUUUAUAUUAUUUCAUUAUCUAUGGUACCUUUCAGCAAAUGUCAUUUCCCUAAUUGGGCAUCUAGAAAGUGCAGUGGGAAUAGAGCAAAGUCAGAAAGAUCUGAGUUCAAAAAUGGCUUCAGACACUAAUUGUAUAGCCCUGGGCAAAUGACUUAGUCUUGUUAAAGAAGACACAUUUUUCUUACAUUAGAGAAAAAUUCAUGGAGGAAGUAAAGUGAAGAAUUGUAUGCUUCCAUCUGCAUUUACACUUCAUCAUUUCAUUCUCUGGUGGUGAAUAGCCUUUUUUGUCCUGAAUCUCUUGGCGUUGUCCUGGAUCUUUGCAUUGAGAAUAGUUAAGUCAUUCACGGCUGAUCCUCAUACAUUAUUGCUAUUACCGUGACCGUGUAUAAUGUUCUCCUGCUUCUGCUCACUUCAUUUUGCAUCACUUCACAUAAUUCUUUCCAGAUUCUCCUGUGAUGUUUUUGUUCACAGUUUCUUAAGGCACAAUAGUAUUAAAAGCAUAAAUCAUAACCUAUUCGGUCAUUCCUCAAUUCAUGGGGCAUUCCUUCAGUUUCCAGUUCUUUACCAGUACAAAAAGAGCUGUUAUAAAUAUUUUUGUACAAGUAGGUCCUUUUCCCUUAUUUUUUAUCUUUUCAGGAUAGAGAUCUAGUAAUGUUAUUACUAGGUCAAUGCACAGUUUAUGACCCUUUGGAAAUGGUUCCAAAUUGCUCUCCAGAAUGUUUGGAUCAGUCCAUAGCUCCAAUGACAGUGUAUUAGUGUCUUGAUUUUUCCAUAUCUCCUCCAAUAUUUAUCAUUUUCCUUCUUUGUUAUAUUAGCCAGAUAGGUGUGAGAUGGUACUUCAGAGUUGGUUUAAUUUGCAUUUUUCUAACAGUGAUUUAAAGCCUUUUUUCAUCUGACUAAAGAUAGUUCCAAUUUCUUCAUGAAAAUUGCCUACUUAUAGCCUUUGAUUAUUUGUCAACUGAGGAAUGCUUUAUAUUCUUAUUUAUCUCGGUUCUCUAUACAUUUGAGAAAUGAGAUCUUUGUUAUAUACUUGCUAUAAAACAUCCCCUUCCCCCCAUUUGUUGUUUUUUUCUAAUCUUUGUUGCAUCUUUUUGUCUGUACAAAAAUGCAUACCUCCUGGCCCUAGAAUUGGUAACCAGGUCCCCGGCUCUCCAUAAUGUUCUCUGCCUUGGAACUACAUUCAGGACCACGUAACCAACUAUAAGCAUUCUUCUGCACUGUAAUAUUUAUUGGGAAAGGAAAUGAGAAUUUGGAAAACAGGGAAAGAGUUGCCCCUUCCCCCACCAACUGUUAGUCUUGUUUCCUUUCCACAGCACCCUGAAACAGGGACCUAUACCUUUGUAUGGGCAAAAGAGUUAUUAAUCAGCACCAGCUGAACCAGCUGAAGCCAGCAAAUAGUCUCCUGUAAUCUCUCAGACACCCUUCCCACCUCUGAAUGGAUAGCUCCCAAAGCUACUAUUGUCAAUCUUAACCACCUCCCAAAAGGCCUACCACUGCUUUUACUGCUACCUGGGCUCUGGGCUGGUCCUCAUUCAGGUGUUACCAGACCUCUCCUGCCAACCUCCUAUAUGAAACUAGAAAAAUACCUCACUCUAACCUUUGCUGCCUUUACUGUUUCAGAAUUUCAUUUGAGGCUUUCUUUUAAAGUUUUUGGAAGGGAAUGUUAAGAAAAUGUGACUGGAUUAUUUUGUUGUCUUUAUCUUUUUGGCUCCCCCUCAGUCUAGUUAAUUCUAACAGAGAUUUGGCUCCUGAGUAAAAAACUGGUUUUGGUCAUAGCAACUGAAAAAAAUUUAAUUGAGUCAUAAUGUAGUUGAAUAUGUACCCAUAUUAUUUUCCCUGAGAGAAUCUAAGCUCUUUGAGGGAACUGAAUUUUUUCAUUUUUGUCUCUAUAUCCUCAGUGCCUGGCAGUGUCUAAUAUAUACCAGGUAGUUAAUAAACACUUGUAGAUUGACAUAUACAAUUGUGCUAAGAAUAUAGCAAGACCAAUUCAUUAUGAAUAACAAUAUUCCUGUGGGAAAAUAUGCUUAAAGUUUUAACUUGGGAAGCCAGAAACAUAUCUGACCUAACUUCCUGCCCUAAUGAUUCUACUAACUCCAUAGUAUUGGUGUAGUAGCUCUCUGGCCAGGGAUUUUAUGUCACAGACUGGCAGUCUGGUGAAUUUUAUUGACCCCUUUCUCAGAAUAUUUUUAAUGAAUAAAAUGCAUGGGGUUCCAAAGGAAACCAAUAAUGCUGCAAUAAAGAUGUAAUUUUUUUUCUAUCCAAGUUCAAAGAUUCCUUGAAAUCUUUCUUUAGAUGCAAAGUUAAGAACUUUUGUUCUUAAGCCUGAAGCAAGAUUCUAGCAAAGAACAGCAGUGGAUACUAGGGUAAGUAAUGGAAAAGGGAGACGAUGUUGUAGGGUAUUAGAGGGAAGAAGUUGUUGGGAAAGAGUCCCUUACCAAUUUAGAUGAAAACUACCUGGAAUCAAUACUGAGUUAUCUCUUGGCCCAAAAUCUCUGUAUUCUUCUGGAAUCUGUGAAUCUUAAAAACUACUCAGACUGUACUUUAGAAGAUUUGAUUUAGCUAUUUCCUUAUUGUAACAAUGGAGAUACUUGGUCUAACAAGAAUCAGGAAUGUAUUGGGAACUUUUAAAAUUAUUCCACUCUACUCAGACAGUGCCUUAGGGGAAGAUAAAGUUGUAAACUCCUGAUUGAACAAUGAAGGUACUUAACCCAUGACUUAUAGUGAAGCUAGAACUUUAAGCUAAGUCUAUUUUUAGAUCUAAUACAAAAGGGUGUUAAGUACCUAUAAAGGUUAAAUUAAUCACAAAAAGGUCAAGUAACUCACAAAAAGGAAGCUUAACAAAGAAAUGUGAAGUACUCAGAAGAUAUAAUCUAACCAGAGAAGGUGAGAACUAAGAAUGGGCAGUCCUGGAAAAAAGUGUCUACUGUGAUUGGUAGACAUGAAAAUUUAGGGGAGGUGACAUAAGAGGAAAUUUCUUUAAAAAGAGGGGUAAAAAGUCAGUUCAGGGAAUUCAGUUCAGAGAGGAACUGGAGUCAGAACUCAGUUCAGGAGAUUGAGUUCAGUGGAGGACAGGAGCUUCCUUGGAGACGGUCUUGUGGUGAGUGAAAAGACUGAUUCCCUUUCCUUUAGACUCAGGAAGGCCACUUUGGCCAAGGCCUUUAAACUACUGCCUGGCUCAGCCCGAGCCAGAGCAAUUUAAAUUAAUUCUCUCUCUCCUUUCCUUAAUUCCUUCUCUCUAUAUUAAUUAAAAUCUUCAUAAUUCCCUGCCUUGGGUGUUUUAUUAUUUGGGAAUCAUCCCUGGUGACCAAUUAUUUAGAUCUAAGUCAAAACACUAAAAUUAUCCUUACAGUUUUGGCUGACCACGUAGGUUUGUGACAAAAACCCUCAAAUUUCUGUGAAAUCUCUUUCCUUUCUCUCGUCAUUACUUGCUCAAGUCAGUAAGUCUUUUUAAACAUGCUAACUCAACUUCAAAAUACAGCUGCAAGAGCGGGUGAGUAAAUUUAUGCUUCCCAUUCUACUAUUUCAUAACAGGUUCUCUCUCUCCACCAAAAUAUUAAAUAAAACAAAGCUUCACAACUUCUUUUUUCCCUGAUAUAAUCAGAUUAAAGCUUUGGAGGUUUUCCAUUGGUAGUAACAGUGCAUUUAUAAUAUGUUCUUCACAGUAUUGUAGAUGUGCACUAUAUGGCACACAGGAGGUGCUUAAUAAAGAUGGUCUCUCUUAUUAUAAGAAUACAAUUCAAUUUAAUAAAAAGUGAUGGGAGUGGGGGAACAGGCAGCUAGGGUGGCUCUGUGGAUUGAGAGCCAGACCUAGAGAUGGCAGGUCCUGGAUUGAGAUCUGGCCUCAGACACUUCCUAGCUAUGUGAGAUCCUGGGCAAGUCACUUAACCCCCAUUUCCUAACCCUUACUGCUCUUCUGCUUUGGAGCCAAUACACAGUAUUGAUUCUAAGACAGAAGGUAAGGGUUUUUAAAAAAAGCGAUUAGAAUCUACUCUGUACCAGUCACUAUGAAAGGCUGUAGAGGCAAUAAAUGAAGGAAUCCAUGACCUCAAGAUAUUUACAUUUUAUUGGGAGGAUAUGACAUUACAAAGAAAUAAAAUCAAGAUAUUUUAAAAGGAUAGAUAAAGAACAAUAACUUAGUGGUCCUAUGAAAACUUCAGUUAGGAGUUGAAAUCUGAGCAGAAUCCUACAGGAAGCUAAGAAUUCUAGAAAGAAGAUGCAGAGUUCCAAGUAUGAGGGACAAUCUAUGGAAACCAUGGAGCCUGGAAAUGGAAUAUUAAGUUUGAGGAACAGGUACCAAUUAGACAAUUUUACUAGAACAGAACAUGUAAGAAUGGUAGUAUUAUGAAAGGCAACAAGGGACUAGAUUGUGGAGGGUUUAAAUGUGAAAAGGAGUUUAUAUUUUAUCCUAGGGAGCCACUCAAGAUGCAAAGAAAGAAAAUCAAAGGGUCAGACAUGUUUUACGAACAUUAAUUUGGCAGAAUGGGCAGAUUAGAGAGGAGGUGAAACAAAAUGGAGCAAACAAAUGAUAUAAUAUAGCUAAAACUAUAUAAGUUGAGGAAUUAAUGUACUGAACUAUGAAUUUCCUUGGGGUAAGAAACCAGUCUUAUUUAGCAUAUCAUCUCCCUUAACUGCUUACACACAAUAUUUUGUGCACAGUGGAGCUCCUUAAUAUUUUGUUGAAUGGUUGAGAAAGUCUUUAAAGAAGAAAAAUGAAGAAAAGGAUGUCCCACAGUCUUAGUGCUUAACCUGCCUAUUGCCCUAGAAAAUUAGUUCCCAAGAAUCAUGUAUGGUCAUUCAAGAAUGAUCCUCAGAAAGAGAUAUGCUGCCUACCCUCCCGGCCAAACACAGGGCAAGGCCUGAACCAUUCCAUACCCGAGAAAACUGAGCUCGAGACUAAACAGCCCUCCCACUCGGGACGAAAACAUCCUCCGUGCACUCCGGAGGAUCAGCUCUGGGACCCAGGCUCCGCCCGCCCCCUUCCCGUGGGUGAGUCGAGGGCGUGGGUUGGUCGGGGCAAUG